GAAUCCUUGUUGCAGUUAGAACCUAGUUUAUUCUUUAAGCGUAGGGGUGCAUAACUUAACCCUUGCCUGGCAUGGUAAUUUGUUAUGUUGCUGCCACAAAGAAUCUGUUCUGUCAAUCUUAGGAUCUCUAUUUUAACUUUAAUGCGGGUCAAUUGUCUGUAAACCAGAAAAGGGAGGGGAGUAUAACAAGUCGUGUCUAACCUGCUGUCCUGUCAUGGCUGGGAACUCCGUUUUUAAGAAUUUUCUGGGGUCCCCUUGGCCAAGAGGGGGUCCAUUCAAUCUGUAGGGGAGGAGUCUUAGGAUUUUAUUUUUAGUUUACAUUCUCCCCUUUUAGCCAAGAUGUGCCAGAGGCAACACUGAUGACCAAACAUUUAUUUUGUCUCAUGUCACUGCCAGGGUGGUGUCGUUACCUGCCCCAGGCUCAUUUUGUUCUUUGGUGGGAUCCCUGUGGCCAAGGGACUUGGAACCAAAAGACUUAAAACUAAUUAAACAUUGGAGGCCAGAUGAAGAUGGAGGUUCACAGGCACGCAUUAACCCUUAAAAACCUUUUGAGCAACAUAACCAAAAAGCAGUGUUACAAAAGUGACUUGUCUAUGAGUUCUGUGUGUUGAGCCAUGAGCUGUUUGGUAAUCUGUAUGCCCAUCUUUAAUUUGGAGGGUCUGAACUAAUUUUAUCUGUUGAAACUGGCCCUUACAAUCUCAUGUGCCCACCCCUUCUGUGAUAGUCCAUGGGCCUACUGGGAGGGUGCUUGAUACUGUAUUGCUUUAGCAGUAGUGCCUUGGCAAUGGAAAGCAGAUUGGCCUAGGGGGAUUGAAUAGUUUUCAAAUUCUAGAGAUACUAGGUAGAGAGAAAGGUAAUCUUCAAUGUUUUACCCAAUUUCUGUAAGCUGUAAAUAGUUUAAAAGAAAAAAGGUUUUAUUGACUCUGAAAAGCAAAACAUGAAGAAUUAGCAAUGUUUAUUUGAUUUUGAG
rnacentral:lncRNA from 10 species